rnacentral:rRNA from 1 species
UCGGGAAUUUUGGGCAAUGGGCGAAAGCCUGACCCAGCAACGCCGCGUGAAGGAUGAAGUAUUUCGGUAUGUAAACUUCGUAAGAAUAGGAAGAAUAAAUGACGGUACUAUUUGUAAGGUCCGGCUAACUACGUGCCAGCAGCCGCGGUAAUACGUAGGGACCAAGCGUUGUUCGGAUUUACUGGGCGUAAAGGGCGCGUAGGCGGUGUGUCAAGUCAGUUGUGAAAUCUCCGAGCUUAACUCGGAACGGUCAACUGAUACUGUCACACUAGAGUACAGAAGGGGCAAUCGGAAUUCUUGGUGUAGCGGUGAAAUGCGUAGAUAUCAAGAGGAACACCUGAGGUGAAGACGGGUUGCUGGGCUGACACUGACGCUGAGGCGCGAAAGCCAGGGGAGCAAACGGGAUUAGAUACCCCUGUAGUCCCUGAGCGGGCUGGCAAGGCGCAU